UACAGAGGUCUCAAGCGUUGUUCGGAUUCAUUGGGCGUAAAGCGUGCGCAGGCGGUUAUGUAAGACAGGUGUGAAAUCCCCGGGCUUAACCUGGGAACUGCAUUUGUGACUGCAUAGCUAGAGUACGGUAGAGGGGGAUGGAAUUCCGCGUGUAGCAGUGAAAUGCGUAGAUAUGCGGAGGAACACCGAUGGCGAAGGCAAUCCCCUGGACCUGUACUGACGCUCAUGCACGAAAGGCGUGGGGAGCAAACAGG
rnacentral:rRNA from 1 species